rnacentral:rRNA from 1 species
AGUCGAACGCCCCGACUUCGGUCGGGGAGUGGCGGACGGGUGAGUAACACGUAAGUAACCUGCCCAGAAGUGGGGAAUAACUUGCCGAAAGGCGAGCUAAUACCGCAUGUGAUGGUCCUCUUCCGAGAGAACCAUGAAAGGCUUAGGUCGCUUCUGGAGGGGCUUGCGGCCGAUUAGCUAGUUGGUGGGGUAACGGCCUACCAAGGCAACGAUCGGUAGCUGGUCUGAGAGGACGGACAGCCACACGGGGACUGAGAUACGGCCCCGACUCCUACGGGAGGCAGCAGCUAGGAAUCUUGGGAAUGGGCGAAAGCCUGACCCAGCAACGCCGCGUGGGCGAUGAAGGCCUUCGGGUUGUAAAGCCCUUUUGCAGGGGAAGAUGAUGACGGUACCCUGCGAAUAAGCCACGGCUAACUACGUGCCAGCAGCCGCGGUAAUACGUAGGUGGCGAGCGUUGUCCGGAUUUACUGGGCGUAAAGGGCGUGCAGGCGGUCUGUUAAGUCUAGGGUGAAAGCUCCCGGCUCAACUGGGAGAGGUCCUUGGAUACUGGCGGACUUGAGGGAGACAGAGGAGAGUGGAAUUCCCGGUGUAGUGGUGAUAUGCGUAGAUAUCGGGAGGAACACCAGUGGCGAAGGCGGCUCUCUGGGUCUUACCUGACGCUGAGACGCGAAAGCGUGGGGAGCGAACCGGAUUAGAUACCCGGGUAGUCCACGCCGUAAACGAUGGACACUAGGUGUGGGGGGUAUCGACCCCCUCUGUGCCGAAGCCAACGCAGUAAGUGUCCCGCCUGGGGAGUACGGCCGCAAGGCUAAAACUCAAAGGAAUUGACGGGGGGCCCGCACAAGCAGCGGAGCGUGCGGUUUAAUUCGUCGCACCGCGAAGAACCUUACCAAGGCUUGA